CCUACGGGGGGCUGCAGUGGGGAAUAUUGGACAAUGGGGGGAACCCUGAUCCAGCCAUGCCGCGUGUGUGAAGAAGGCCCUCGGGUUGUAAAGCACUUUCAGGGAGGAAGAACGCCUGGUGGUUAAUACCCAUCAGGAAAGACAUCACUCACAGAAGAAGCACCGGCUAACUCCGUGCCAGCAGCCGCGGUAAUACGGAGGGUGCGAGCGUUAAUCGGAAUUACUGGGCGUAAAGCGCGCGUAGGUGGCUUGAUAAGCCGGUUGUGAAAGCCCCGGGCUCAACCUGGGAACGGCAUCCGGAACUGUCAAGCUAGAGUGCAGGAGAGGAAGGUAGAAUUCCCGGUGUAGCGGUGAAAUGCGUAGAGAUCGGGAGGAAUACCAGUGGCGAAGGCGGCCUUCUGGACUGACACUGACACUGAGGUGCGAAAGCGUGGGUAGCAAACAGGAUUAGAUACCCUAGUAGUC
rnacentral:rRNA from 1 species